rnacentral:rRNA from 1 species
UACGAAGGGGGCUAGCGUUGUUCGGAAUUACUGGGCGUAAAGCGCACGUAGGCGGGCGAUUAAGUCAGGGGUGAAAUCCCGGAGCUCAACUCCGGAACUGCCUUUGAUACUGGCAGGCUAGAGUGCGGUAGAGGAUGGCGGAAUUCCCGGUGUAGCAGUGAAAUGCGUAGAGAUCGGGAGGAACAUCUGUGGCGAAGGCGGCCAUCUGGACGGUAACUGACGCUGAGACGCGAAAGCGUGGGAGCAAACAGG